rnacentral:rRNA from 1 species
AGACUUCUGCAUCUUUAGGAUAUNCUAGUCCAACAUCGAGGUCACAACCCCCCCUUUCGAUUUGGUCUCUCAAGGGAGAUUAUGCUGUUAUCCCUGCGGUAACUAGUUUUUUUAAUCAGCUUUAGCUGGAUCAAAACAAAUAGGUUUAUAAGUUAAGAGGAAGCUUUUUUUGUUCCUCGGUCGCCCCAACCAAAAAAGGUUAAUAGUUAUAUAUUAUAAAUAAUAUAGGUGUUAUCUGUUGGCUUUUAAGCUCGACAGGG